rnacentral:sRNA from 1 species
GUUCACCAGUCCCCGGUGUCCUCGCUCCAGCCCAUCCGCCAUGACCUGCAGCCCGACCCAGGUGACGGCACGCGUUCAUCUGCGUAUUGUCCCGACUACACCGUGAGGGCGCUCUCUGACCUGCAGCUCAUCAAGGUUACGCGGCUGCAGUACCUCAACGCACUCCUGGCUACCCGAGCCCAGAACCUGCCACAGUCCCCUGAGAACACUGACCUGCAGGUUAUUCCAGGCAGCCAGACCAGGCUCCUUGGUGAGAAGACCACCACAGCGGCAGCCUUCCCAGUAGACCUUUCCCUCUUUGGCACAGUUGGAAACUGCAGUUGAUAAAUGACUGUGGACUAGUGCGCGUUUUUUGUUUUCAGAGCACACCCAAGGGUCCAGCCACAGCAGGCCCGG